GAAUUUAAUAUAAUUAUUUAUGAGAAAUUAAUUAAUUAAUAAGUAUGAGAAUAAAUAGUUAUAAUUUAGUUGGGAGGACUUUUAAAUUAAAAUAACUUUAAAUAUUUUAAGUAAUAUAUAAAUUAAUAUGUAAAGAAUUUUUAGAGUGAUUAGUAUAUUAAUUAAGAAUUAAUUACCUUAGGGAUAACAGCGUAAUAUUUUUAUAAAGAUCUUAUUAAUAAGAAUGAUUGC
rnacentral:rRNA from 1 species